CUUUAUUCUGUAUACUGCAUUUCUAAAAUCUGAUAAGCUAUGUAAUACUGAAACAUCACACCAAAAAUGUACCCGGAAUAACCAUACUCGUGAAUCGAUUAAUCUCGAUAUACAUAGCAAGGUUAUUCAAUUCUGAAAUUCUGUAAUUCUGGUCGUACGCGCGCAGAGCUAUAAAAUGGUCAUACACUAUGGAAACACAUUCACAAUAGUGCAGAGCGGGUAAAAUCACUAUACUGAUCAUACGCUGUGGAAACACAUUCACACCAGCGCAGAGUGGGUAAAAUAACCAUAUGAAGUCAUACACUGUGGAAACACAUUCACACCAGUGCAGACGAGGGUAAAAUCACUUGGGUACUUUCUGGUGGUUUUAAAAUAACUUUGAAU
rnacentral:lncRNA from 1 species